ACAUGCCUACAAAAUAGCGUUAAUGCAUCGAAUCCCAGCAGACUCCACAUUUAAGCGCGCUCAGGCUAGAGUAGUACUGGGAUGGGUGACCGCCUAGGAAGUCCUAGUAUUUUACAUACC
rnacentral:rRNA from 1 species